GCUUAGCUGAGGGCCGAUGGUUCCUGCGGUCAUGACGUGCCGCGGGAUGAAAAGGGAAUGCGGUGAGGAUGACCCUGAUGGGGCCGAAACCGCAGCUGCCCCCGCAACUGUGAGCGGUGAACGACAUCCAGACGGCCACUGGCGUCUUUUUUCGGUUUGCGUCGCCUUAUCGACGCCGAAGCGCUGCCGCUUCGACCGGGAAGGACAGGACGCCGGGAAGGCGGAUGCCGUGUUGACCCGCAAGCCAGGAGACCUGCCAUCGACAAGCCGGGCGG
rnacentral:ncRNA from 2 species